GAAGCUGACCAGACAGUCGCCGCUUCGUCGUCGUCCUUUCGGGGAGACGGGCGGAGGGGAGGAAAGUCCGGGCUCCAUAGGGCAGGGUGCCAGGUAACGCCUGGGGGGGAAACCCACGACCAGUGCAACAGAGAGCAAACCGCCGAUGGCCCACGUAAGUGGGAUCAGGUAAGGGUGAAAGGGUGCGGUAAGAGCGCACCGCGCGGCUGGUAACAGUCCGUGGCACGGUAAACUCCACCCGGAGCAAGGCCAAAUAGGGGUUCAUAAGGUACGGCCCGUACUGAACCCGGGUAGGCUGCUUGAGCCAGUGCAAGGCCAAAUAGGGGUUCAUAAGGUACGGCCCGUACUGAACCCGGGUAGGCUGCUUGAGCCAGUGAGCGAUUGCUGGCCUAGAUGAAUGACUGUCCACGACAGAACCCGGCUUAUCGGUCAGUUUCACUU
rnacentral:RNase_P_RNA from 1 species